UGGGGAGGUGCAGGACCCACUUGGGGAGGUGGAGGGAGCAACACCCAAAGUGAAAGUUGCUACUGAUUUACGAAGCUCUAGACAGCUGAUUUCAACAACGUUUUGGCCUGGCUGCAGUGACUGGGGGUCCUUGCUCGUGCAACUCAUUUGGGAGAAAAGAAUUCCCUCAAGCAUUUUUCAUUUGGAGAGAAACAACCUCGAGCUAGGGCAAAGGGGCGAUGAGAGACGAAGAGAGGAGCGACCCUGUCCGAAGAAGAGACUGACCGAAGGAGCUGCCCGGAAAAUAAGAGGAGCUGACCGGCGAAGAUGAAGAUGACCGGGGCUGCCACGCCGAGUGAAGCUUAGCGUAACAAGCAAGUUUAUCUUCUCCAUUUUUUUUUCCUUUUUCUUUUCUGUUUGUUCAAUUUUUCUUCUUUCUUUUCUCAACCCUAUAAAAAGGGUUUUUGCCAUGUACAUAUUUUUUUAGAGAG
rnacentral:lncRNA from 1 species